rnacentral:rRNA from 1 species
UACGAAGGGUGCUAGCGUUGUUCGGAAUUACUGGGCGUAAAGAGCGCGUAGGCGGUUAUACAAGUCAGGGGUGAAAUCCCGGAGCUUAACUCCGGAACUGCCUUUGAAACUGUAUAGCUGGAGUGUGUGAGGGGAUAGCGGAAUUCCUAAUGUAGAGGUGAAAUUCGUAGAUAUUAGGAGGAACACCGGUGGCGAAGGCGGCUAUCUGGCACACAACUGACGCUGAGGCGCGAAAGCGUGGGGAGCAAACAGG